rnacentral:rRNA from 1 species
UACAGAGGGUGCGAGCGUUACUCGGAAUUACUGGGCGUAAAGCGCGCGUAGACGGUUAUUUAAGUCGGGUGUGAAAGCCCCGGGCUCAACCUGGGAAUUGCAUUCGAGACUGAAUAGCUAGGGUACGGUAGAGGGAAGCGGAAUUUCCGGUGUAGCGGCGAAAUGCGUAGAUAUCGGAAGGAACAUCAGUGGCGAAAGCGGCUUCCUGGACCAGUACCGACGUUCAGGCACGAAAGCGUGGGGAGCAAACAGG